CAUCCUCAAACCUUCUUGGUUUCUUGACCAAGAAGGCUUUGGACUUUGGAGGCUUUUGCUGGACCUUCCCUUGUUGAAGCCAGCUCCUCUUAAAUGAAUUAGUGGGGUCUGCUUUGCUGAUCCUUGACAUGAUAAGAUGCUUCUACGUCUUGGGUUUUGCACAGUUUGCUCUAGAUCCUGCUUCUAACUGUCUCAUAGAAGACAAAUGGUCAACUUGACCUACAAA
rnacentral:misc_RNA from 1 species